GCCUGUGUGGCUCAGUCGGUUAAGUGUCUGACCUCGGCUCAGGUCAUGAUCUCAUGGUUUGUGAGUUCAAGCCCCACCUCAGGUU
rnacentral:tRNA from 1 species